UACAGAGGUCCCGAGCGUUGUUCGGAUUCACUGGGCGUAAAGGGUGCGUAGGUGGUGAGGUAAGUCGGAUGUGAAAUCUCCAGGCUCAACCUGGAAACUGCAUUGGAAACUACCUUGCUGGAGGAUUUGAGGGGGGAUUGGAAUACUUGGUGUAGCAGUGAAAUGCGUAGAUAUCUGGAGGAACACCGGUGGCGAAGGCGGCAUCCUGGACCGGUAUUGACGCUGAGGCGCGAAAGCCAGGGGAGCAAACGGG
rnacentral:rRNA from 1 species